UACGUAGGGUGCAAGCGUUGUCCGGAAUUAUUGGGCGUAAAGAGCUCGUAGGCGGUCUGUCACGUCUGCUGUGAAAACUCGGGGCUUAACCCCGGGCCUGCAGUGGGUACGGGCAGACUAGAGUGCGGUAGGGGUGACUGGAAUUCCUGGUGUAGCGGUGGAAUGCGCAGAUAUCAGGAGGAACACCGAUGGCGAAGGCAGGUCACUGGGCCGCAACUGACGCUGAGGAGCGAAAGCAUGGGGAGCGAACAGG
rnacentral:rRNA from 1 species